rnacentral:lncRNA from 1 species
UUGUUCUGAUUAUUAUUAUUAUAAUUAUUAAGUCUUUCCACUUUUCUGUGGAAAGACUUAUUGUUUUUGUUCUGAUUAUUAUUAUUAUUAUUUUUUUUUUUUUUUCCGCCAACUUUUGUUCUUGCGAUAAAUGUUUGUUUCGCAAUAUGUCCCUUAGAUAUUUCUCAUAUUGUAUCGUAUAGUUUAUGCGCUUUUAAAUUUCACCCUGCUAAGCCGAACCAUUUUCUUUGUAAGAGUUAUCUCCCUUUUCACUGUUUAUCAUCAAAGCGUAUCUCCUUCGUAACAAAAAAAGAUAGCGACAAAAUUCUUUUUACAAAUUGUUCGUUACAUCCUCAGUAAUUUUUGGCGUAUUUGGAUCGAAGCGAUUCGAUGAAAUUUUAUAGGAGUUAUCUACCUUUACAAAAUAAAUUUGUCGGUAUGUUUAUUUAACUCAUUAACAGAUAACCGUAUAACCCUGGGAUGUUUUUAUUUGAGUCCCCUAGGUCCUAACUUAGAAAAUGAGUCAAGGUCAAGGUCAAGGUCAAU